rnacentral:sRNA from 1 species
UCAAAAUUUGUUUUCUGUAUUUUUUGGCAUAAACAACAAGAAAACAGAAACAAGCCAAAGCUAGAAGAAGAACAAUGACGAUGGGCCACAUGUUAAUAACGGGGAUGCUGAUGUUGGAGGUGGCAUGCGUUUGGUUUUAAUAAACCACUUAAGUGGCGACAUUUGACACACGUUCCCCCGCCAUCCUCUUAUUGGUUGCAUAAAUACCUCUCGAACACAUUCUACGCCCAAUAAAGAUUUCCUGUCAUUGGCUAUUCAUAUGAUAUUUCUUCAUUUUUUCUACUUCAUGCGCAAAUAGCAACAAGGAAAACGAGAAGAAAACUUUAUUUAAAGUAAUUACCCAAGUUUGGUGUUGUUAAAUAAGUAAAUGUCACAUAUAAAUAUGUAUGUGUUGCUUGCUAUAAAAGCUCACAAAAGGGUUCCACCAAACGGAAUGAAAAGUCUGGCUCAUGGAGCUGUAGCUACUGGGUUCGCAAGAGGUGGAGAAAGUGCAUUUUAACCAUCGGUGAAUGUUUUAGCUGCAAAGAAAUAAGAUCUGAAAUUGGCUCUGGAUUUGAAGCCAGCAAUGUCUCGACCACGACAUUUCAUUGGGAAACUUUUGAUGGUAAACUUUGUCUGCUCAACAAAAUCAAGUAAAGCGGCCGAAUCUCGAGAACUCACCACCAUGGAUUUUGCUAAAAUUUUAUGCAAAAUAAAUUUUGUUGAAGGA